UGGGGAAUAUUGCACAAUGGGCGCAAGCCUGAUGCAGCCAUGCCGCGUGUGUGAAGAAGGCCUUCGGGUUGUAAAGCACUUUCAGCGAGGAGGAAGGCGUUAAGGUUAAUAACCUUGGCGAUUGACGUUACUCGCAGAAGAAGCACCGGCUAACUCCGUGCCAGCAGCCGCGGUAAUACGGAGGGUGCAAGCGUUAAUCGGAAUUACUGGGCGUAAAGCGCACGCAGGCGGUUUGUUAAGUCAGAUGUGAAAUCCCCGAGCUUAACUUGGGAACUGCAUUUGAAACUGGCAAGCUAGAGUCUUGUAGAGGGGGGUAGAAUUCCAGGUGUAGCGGUGAAAUGCGUAGAGAUCUGGAGGAAUACCGGUGGCGAAGGCGGCCCCCCUGGACAAAGACUGACGCUCAGGUGCGAAAGCGUGGGGCAGCAAACAGGAUUAGAUACCCUGGUAGUCCACGCUGUAAACGAUGUCGAUUUGGAGGUUGUGGGCUUGACCCGCGGCUUCCGGAGCUAACGCGUUAAAUCGACCGCCUGGGGAGUACGGCCGCAAGGUUAAAACUCUAAAGUGAAUUGAC
rnacentral:rRNA from 1 species